AGGGAGUACGGUAAGGGCAUGGUGGACCUUAAUUUAGUCGACCAAUCACGUGGCCUGUAAGUGGCCACGUGUUGCACCGCGGUUGAAGGAAGGGGGAUAACAUUAUCCUCUCAACUCCACUUUCCCAAAUUUCCUCUCUUCCCCAUGUAUUCUCGGUUCUCUCUCUCUUUCUAAUCCUCUCAUUUCUUUCUCUCAUCCUAUCAUCUAUCUCUCUUCCACAUUCAAAGAUAAACAAGAAAAAAAACAGAAAAAACACAAAACAAAAAUCAAACACAGUGCCCACCAAGAACAUCCACGGCUGUUUUCAAGAAACACACGGUGGUGUUUACGAAUAUGUGCGGCGGCGUCGGUGAAUACACGGAGGCCGACACGGCGGCGCCUCCCUAUAUCUCCAAAAAUGCAAAAAUAAUUUAAAAAAAGCUAAGUGUUAAUGGCGGCACGCAACUUUGGAUUUUCUCCUACUCGCUUCCUUUUCUCUUCUGUUUCGUUGUCCUCCUUUUCGUUUUCAGAAAUAGCUUUUAUAUUUUUAUAUAGUACUUUUAGGAUUGAGUAGAUUAGGAAAUACAUUGAUUUUAGUUAUUACCCAUUGAUUGUAUGAUUUGAUUUGAUUUUGUUUAGAGAUUGAGAUUCGUUGUAGAAAUAGGAAUUAAAGUUGGAGAUUUGAUUGUAUUUGAACAUUCAUUGUAAGAAUAAGUUUCUUGAUUUGAUUGAAUUUAAGUCGAUUAAAGCUUGUAAUUACUGUAUUCAAAUUGAGGCUAUUUCCUUUCUUAAA